GAUGGCUUUGGCUAUCACUCUGGGUAUGGACCUGCGGUGCAUUAGCUAGUUGGUAAGGUAACGGCUUACCAAGGCGAUGAUGCAUAGCCGAGUUGAGAGACUGAUCGGCCACAAUGGUAACUGAGACACGGAUCCAUACUCCUACGGGUAGGCAGCAGUAGGG
rnacentral:rRNA from 1 species